rnacentral:pre_miRNA from 1 species
GGAGGGAAUGCAGGAUCCUGGGCUAUGUCCCUCAGCUCCCUGGGAUCUGGGGCCUGAGCCGCUGGAAUCGCACUCCUGGGGCCACGCAGCCGCCC